GGACAUCCUUCAGGAGAUUUGGCCGAGUCUAUCCUUUGAUAUGUUUGGUGCUUGUUUCUUCCCUAGAAAAGAGUCUACAACUCCUUUGGUUUCGGUGCUCAACCCAGUGCAUCAUGGUUUUGAUUGUGUCCUAGAUUGAUGGCAAAUCCUUGGGGUGUAGCUUGUGGGGUUUCUUCUUUUAGGCGAUGUAGCCGUAUCUCAUCCCCAUUGGUACUUCAUGAGGAUCUUUCUCCCCGCCGGCGUUG
rnacentral:misc_RNA from 1 species